rnacentral:rRNA from 1 species
AACGAACGCUGGCGGCAUGCCUAACACAUGCAAGUCGAACGAGACCUUCGGGUCUAGUGGCGCCCGGGUGCGUAACGCGUGGGAACCUGCCCUUAGGUUCGGAAUAACUCCCCGAAAGGGGUGCUAAUACCGGAUAAUGUCUUCGGACCAAAGAUUUAUCGCAUUUGGAUGGGCCCGCGUUGGAUUAGCUAGUUGGUAGGGUAAAAGCCUACCAAGGCGACGAUGCAUAGCUGGUCUGAGAGGAUGAUCAGCCACACUGGGACUGAGACACGGCCCAGACUCCUACGGGAGGCAGCAGUGGGGAAUAUUGGACAAUGGGCGAAAGCCUGAUCCAGCAAUGCCGCGUGAGUGAUGAAGGCCUUAGGGUUGUAAAGCUCUUUUACCCGGGAUGAUAAUGACAGUACCGGGAGAAUAAGCUCCGGCUAACUCCGUG